rnacentral:rRNA from 1 species
UACGAAGGGGCGAGCGUUGUUCGGAUUUACUGGGCGUAAAGGGCGCGUAGGCGGCCAUUCCAGUCGCGUGUGAAAGCCCCGGGCUCAACCUGGGAAUGGCGCGCGAUACUGGGUGGCUGGAGUUCGGGAGAGGAGCGUGGAAUUCCCAGUGUAGAGGUGAAAUUCGUAGAUAUUGGGAAGAACACCGGUGGCGAAGGCGGCGCUCUGGACCGAGACUGACGCUGAGGCGCGAAGGCGUGGGGAGCAAACAGGG